AUCCAGCCCCUCCAGGUUGACUCAAGUCAGAGUGUGCGGGGGCCAGCCAUGGAACAGAGGGAGCCUCCUGCCCAGGGCAAGCGUGGGGAGACCAACAGGGGCCCCAGACAGGUGAGCCGCUCCAGCAGGGACAGCACAGGUGGUGCAUGGUCGGGGCUGGACAUCGGGGUUAGUCGGCAAGGAUGAGGAGUCUCUGGGGAUGGAGGCUGAGGCUUGGGGUUCUCAGGCAAGGGCAGGCCUAGGUGCAGCAGAUAAUUGUUUGGAGGGAGGAAAUCAAGCUUUCCUUCUAGAAAGGGUGACAGGGACCAAAGGGAGAGGGCAGGGACAGCCCCUGGAAAGGGCAGGUGAGGAAGGUGAGGCUGGAGGGGACCCAAGAAGGGAUCCUGGGGAGGUAGUGGCCAAGAGCAGGGUGAGGGCCAGGCCGCACCUUUCCCUGCACCCAGCUCUCCCUGGGGUGGCCCUGGCCCUGCUCUGCUGUCCCCUGCAGGACAGGUGCCUCAGGCUUGUCCCAGCUUGUCCUACAGCAGGUCCUCAGCACCCACAGGUCCUGCCUUGGGCUCUGCAGAAGCAGCAAGUGGUGAGGUCAGGACCCUGGGCCACAGAAGAAAUGGUCUGGGGGACAAGGACGGGGGUUGGGGGACUGACAGCUGUUUUCUGAAGGCCCGGGGAGUGGAGGAGAGGGGUAAGGGGCCAAGGCUUGGGGCUCAGUAUGGGGGCAGCUGCAGGGGGUGAGGGGGACAGUGGGGGCAGUGAAGAGGGCCUAGGGUCUGGUAUCUGCAGCAGGCACUCACAGAGGACAGACUGUUUGCAAGGUAGGUCAGGUGACAGGGAGCCGGGUGGGGGGGGGGGGGGGCUGAGGAGGCUCAGGGCCUGACUCCAGGGAGAGCAGUUGCCAUCCCCCAGGUCCAGAGGGGCCCUGGGAGGAGUCCAGGCAGGGCUGAAGCUGGAAGAAGUAAGAGGGGCUGGCACUCAAGGACUGCAGCCACUGGCCAGGUGGGGCCAGGUCGGACCGGCUGCCUUCCCUGGUCUCAGCCCCAGCCUUCUGUGGCUGCCUCCCCCAUCGGAGCCAUCAGAGAGCAGGAUGUGGGAGGGGCAGGUGAAGGACAGCCUCUGUGAUGGUCCCUGGUGUGCUGCAGCCUGGGGUGAGGGGCCUUGGGGAUGGGAAGGGCUGGGAGCUGGGAGACGAUGGCUCCCAGCACUUGGUCCUGAGGGGCCUUGGAGCAGCUUCCCCCAGGCCUGCAGAGGCAACUUCUGACACUCGGGGAGCUGAGGCCAAGGGAAGGCUCCCCAGACACAAGGAGAAGGGGCUGGGGGCAGCCAGAAGGCUUUGGGCUACCCUCCCUGGAGGCUCAGGUCCCAGGUGACCCCUCCAGCUGUGUUCCUUGCAAGAUUGGGACCUGCAAAGAUUGCAGAUGUGAGGAAAGGAAGGUGUCUUGGGCAUUCUUCCCAGUGUGGCUGAGCUGUGCCUGUAAGGACAUGCAGACACUCAGAGGACCUGUCCUCAGGGGCCCCAGGGUGAAGGUGAAGAUCUCACCUUACAACCAGCCGGGCCCUGACUACUUCCAGCCACCAGGCCCCCAGGACAGGAGCAGGACAGUGGUUAUUUCCCCAGUGGACGGGGGGCUCCAGGUCACAUAAGAAUAACAUGCUCUGUGACAAGGCGUGGGGAUGAAAAUGCUUCCCCCUGGGCUGAGAUUCCAGGACACCUGAGAUGGGGGGACCCCGGCCACAUGUUUAGAGCUCUCAGGGAACCUGGAGGGCCCCUCAGCCUCUGUUCCCCUACUGGGGAGAACAGAGGCCUGGUGGUAGCAAUUUCAGGGAACUCAGAGAAACACCGUUCCCCAGACCUUGGAGCUCCCUCUGUGCCUGGCUCUCACUGUGAGGCCCCCCACCAGCUGGUCCUGCUCAGGGAGCCUCCACGUGUCCCCCUGGUUCCUCCGGCCAGCCUAGGGGUGGAGGGUGCGGUCCCCAUGGCCUGUAGGAAGUAGGGCUCAGAGGGGCAAAGUCACCGCCCUGAGGUCACCAGGAGGUCCCGGCAGAGGGGGUUGGGGCCUGGCUCAGGGCCUGUUCUCCCUGCUGAGCUCAGUGGGACAGGGCCAUCUCAAGGGUCCCACUGUUUUUCUCUGGUCUCUGCCUCAGCAUGUGGUGGGACCUUGAUUUCCAUACUCUCAUGUCACCAGUCUGUUGGGGGGCAGAGCUUAUGGGGUCACUGAUAUCACCUGGCUCGUUCCUCCCCCAUCCAGGCUGUCCCAUGAGAAUGUCUAAUCUGUAUGUCAUCGGAGUCAAUAAUGUGUUUUGCUAUCGCUCUGGUUCCAGGGAUAUUGCUCAGCCAAAGGGCCAGCAUCCCAGUGAAGAAGAUCAGAAAGAGGCUUCCGGUCACCAGGAGACUCCUGGGGAGGGCCUAGGCUGGGAGUGGGACACGGGUGGGGUUGGAUGGAAGAGUACCAGGUGGGCCUAGGAUGGAUGGAGGAGGCUGUGUCCCCAGCUACAGGCCUGGAGAUGUUACGGCACCCAACAGGCCCCCCAGCCUCCAUCCCCGUGCUGGGUUCUCAGGUUUAGUAGGGGCAGUGCCUGGGGACUCAGAGGGACCCUGACCCCAGAGCUUGGAGACCCCUCUGGAGCAUGCCUGGCUCUCACUGUGAGGCCCGCACCAGCCAGUCCUGCUCUGAGAGCCUCCUCGUGUCCCCCUGGCUCCUCCUGCCAGCCUGGGGGUGGAGGGUGUGGUCCCCAUGGCUUGUGGGAGGGAGGGCCCAGAGGGGCAAAGUCACCACCCUGAGGCCACCAGGAGAUCCCUGCAGAGGGCAGAGUGGGUUGGGGCCUGCCUUAGGGUCUGUUCCCUUUGAGCUCGGUGGGACAGGGUCAUCUCGAGGGUCCCAGUGUUUUUUUCUGGUCCCUGCCCCAGUGUCUAAUGGGACACAGCCCCUCACAUCCCCAGUCUGUGGGGGGCAGAGGUCAUGGGUCACUGACAUCCCCUGGCUCAUUCCUCCCACAUUCACCCAACAGACCCCUUAUCCUCCAUCCCCCUGCCGAGAUUGGGGAUUGGCUCAGGGCCUGUUCUCCCCACUGAGUUUGGUGGGAUGGGGCCAUCUUGAGGGUCUGGGUGUUUUUCUCAGGUGGGACCUAGAUCCCCACAGUCCCUCACGUGCCCAAUCUGUGGGGUGGGCAUGGGGUCACCAAGGUCACCUGGUUCAUUCUUCCCCCAUCCAGAUUCCGUCUCUAGAGCCUUUGAGGUCACUCCUGAUGCUGACAUGGCUGUGAAGAGCUGGGUGCCAGGCAUUACUGCCUCCAAGGUUGCUUUGCGAGGAAUAGGUGGGGCAUCAGGAAGAAGCCAGUUGCAGGCAAGGCCUCUGCUGAUGCUGCUUUUUUCUCCUGUAGCCAUCCAUGGGAGGGAGCUGUGAGAUGGCCUGGCAGAACCCGCUCUCGGACCCCACAGAAUGAGAGGCUCACCCUGCACAGGAACAUCCUGGGGCAGCAGGCUCAGCACAUUUUAAAUUUUGAGUAUGAACAAAGUAAACUUCAGGGUUAAAAAAAAAACAC
rnacentral:antisense_RNA from 1 species